rnacentral:rRNA from 1 species
CGAAGUAGCAAUACUUAGUGGCAGACGGGUGAGUAACAUGUGGGUAUCUGCCCUUUGGCCUGGAAUAACACGAGGAAACUUGUGCUAAUACCGGAUAAGUCUUUACGGAGAAAGCUUUAUGCACCAUUGGAUGAGCCCGCACUUGAUUAGUUUGUUGGUGGGGUAAUGGCCUACCAAGACUGUGAUCAAUAGCUGAUUUGAGAGGAUGAUCAGCCACAUUGGGACUGAGACACGGCCCAAACUC